rnacentral:lncRNA from 1 species
AACAUCUAAUGUAAAUACCGAGCUUGACCUGUAUGCAACAACUGGAAACAUAAAGAACCCCUACUAGAGCCCUCAUCAAAACUCUAGAUGGGUCAACAAAACAUACAUCAAGCUGGGAUAACAUCCAGAGAACUAUAACCUAACCUGUGCAUACAUCAAACUACAAACAUAGGACCUCCACUAGGGUCCUCAUCAAUUACCAUAGCGUGGUAAACAACACAUGCCACAAGAUUAGUUCAAACUCAACUCAAUAAUAAACCAUACAUACAUCAUGUAC